CAGAGCCAAAAACGACUGAUACUUAGCACUCUGUCUCUCUCUCGGAGAAGGAAAAGUGGAAGAAGAAGAAGAAAGAGACCCACUGAGCAAAACCAAAACGGAUCAAAUAAAAAAAAUUUUCAUAUAUUUAUAUAGAUAAUUGCUCUGCUUCUCUCUGCCCUAGAUCUUCAACACCAUUCAACCUUUCCUUCUUCUUCUUCCACUUCAACUUCCUAUUCUUAGAUUAGAUCUUUCAAUCCUCAGUAUACAACUAUUAGAGAUCUGUCUUCCCAGGUUUUUCCUAGAUAAUCAUUUCAAGAAUUUUUUUUCCUACUGGUUAUUUGGGAGAGUGGACAUUAAUAACAGUAAAGACAUGCAUGACCUUGAGGUAAAGUACUGAUGUGCUUAUAAUAAAUGAAGACAGUGCAGGUGUGGCGUGUAGGCAUGAGUGAUAUGCAGAUCUUGCCAGGGGCUCGCCACCGCCCUCCUUUGAAGAGGCCAAUAUGGAUUAUUGUCUUGCUUUCGAUGGUCAGCCUAUUUCUAG
rnacentral:misc_RNA from 1 species